rnacentral:rRNA from 1 species
CUAGUAGCUGGUUCCCUCCGAAGUUUCCCUCAGGAUAGCUGGUGCAUUUUAAAAUUAUGUUAAAUAAUCUUAUCUGGUAAAGCGAAUGAUUAGAGGCCUUAGGGUCGAAACGACCUUAACCUAUUCUCAAACUUUAAAUGGGUAAGAACCUCACCUUUCUUGAUAUGAAGGUUGAGGUUAUGAUAUAAUGUGCCCAGUGGGCCACUUUUGGUAAGCAGAACUGGCGCUGUGGGAUGAACCAAACGUAAUGUUACGGUGCCUAAAUUAACAACUCAUGCAGAUACCAUGAAAGGCGUUGGUUGCUUAAAACAGCAGGACGGUGGACAUGGAAGUCGUAAUCCGCUAAGGAGUGUGUAACAACUCACCUGCCGAAGCAACUAGCCCUUAAAAUGGAUGGCGCUUAAGUUGUAUACCUAUACAUUACCGCUAAAGUAUAUGAUUUAUAAUACAAUUUCGAUUGUUUUUAUAAAUUUUGAAACUUUAGUGAGUAGGAGGGUACAAUGGUGUGCUUAGAAGUGUUUGGCGUAAGCCUGCAUGGAGCCGCCAUUGGUACAGAUCUUGGUGGUAGUAGCAAAUAAUCGAAUGAGACCUUGGAGGACUGAAGUGGAGAAGGGUUUCGUGUGAACAGUGGUUGAUCACGAGUUAGUCGGUCCUAAGUUCAAGGCGAAAGCCGAAAAUUUUCAAGUUUUAAUGAA